AAAAGCUCGUAGUUGGGUUUCUGUGGGGGACACGAAGGCCGGCCAUCAGUGGUUGUAGCCUAUCGCUGUUUUCUGCAUCUUGUCGCCAAUUGCCACUGGCAUUCACUUGUUGGUGUGCAGGACCGACUCAUUUACUUUGAGAAAAUUAGAGUGUUCAAAGCAGGCUAUUGCCGUGAAUAUGUUAGCAUGGAAUAAUGAUAUAGGACUUUGGUUCUAUCUUGUUGGUUGUUCGAGGACCGAAGUAAUGAUUGAUAGGGACAGUUGGGGGCAUCAGUAUUCUGAAGCGAGAGGUGAAAUUCUUGGACCUUCGGAAGACUAACAGCUGCGAAAGCGUUUGCCUAGGAUGUUCUCUUUAAUCAAGAACGAAAGUUGGGGGAUCGAAGACGAUCAGAUACCGUCGUAGUCUCAACUAUAAACUAUGCCAGCUAGGGAUUGGCGGAUGUUUAAUUACGACUCCGUCAGCACCUUAUGAGAAAUCAAAGCAUUUGGGUUCCGGGGGGAGUAUAGU
rnacentral:rRNA from 1 species